GAUGAAGAACGUAGCGAAAUGCGAUACGUAGUGUGAAUUCCAGAAUUCAGUGAAUCAUCGAAUCUUUGAACGCACAUUGCACCUCUCGGUAUUCCGGGAGGUAUGCCUGUUCGAGCGUCAUUUGUACCCUCAAGCUCUGCUUGGUGUUGGGUGUUUGUUCCGCCUCUGUGUGUGAACUCGCCUCAAAACAAUUGGCAGCCGGCGUACUUGUUUCGGAGCGCAGCACAUUUUGCGAUCCAGAUCAACGUACAGCGGCAUCCAAGAAGCCUUAUUUAACGCUCUUGACCUCGGAUCAGGUAGGGAUACCCGCUGAACUUAAGCAUAUCAAUAAGCGGAGGA
rnacentral:misc_RNA from 1 species